GGAAGCGGAAGAGCAGGUCUCCAGGGGAGCGAUGGCAGCCGGUGGUCUGAGUCGCUCCGAGCGCAAAGCGGCUGAGCGGGUCCGGAGGUUGCGGGAGGAGCAGCAGAGGGAGCGCCUCCGCCAGGUACGCCGCCGCCGCUCCCCGGCCCGGCCAUGCCCGGCCCGCGCCGCCGCUCACCGCCUGCCUGCCCGCAGGUGUCGCGCAUCCUGAGGAAGGCGGCGGCGGAGCGCAGCGCCGAGGAGGGCCGGCUGCUGGCCGAGAGCGCGGACCUGGUAACGGAGCUGCAGGGCCGGAGCCGGCGGCGCGAGGGCUUGAAGCGGCGGCAGGAGGAGGUGUGCGACGACCCGGAGGAGCUGCGGGGGAAGGUCCGGGAGCUGGCCAGCGCCGUCCGGAACGCCAAAUACCUGGUCGUCUACACAGGCGCGGGAAUCAGCACGGCAGCGUCUAUCCCAGACUACCGGGGCCCUAAUGGAGUGUGGACACUGCUUCAGAAAGGGAGAAGCGUUAGUGCUGCGGACCUGAGUGAGGCCGAGCCAACCCUCACCCACAUGAGCAUCACCCGUUUGCAUGAGCAGAAACUGGUGCAGCAUGUGGUGUCUCAGAACUGUGACGGGCUCCACCUGAGGAGUGGGCUGCCGCGCACGGCCAUCUCCGAGCUCCACGGGAACAUGUACAUUGAAGUGAGCAGUCCUGCAGGGACCCGGGGUCUCCACGGGCAGGCGGGUCCCACUCACUGUGCCCUCUUGCCUCUAGGUCUGUACCUCCUGCGUUCCCAACAGGGAGUACGUGCGGGUGUUUGAUGUGACAGAGCGCACCGCCCUCCACAGACACCAGACAGGCCGGACCUGCCACAAGUGUGGGACCCAGCUGCGGGACACCAUUGUGCACUUUGGGGAGAGGGGGACGUUGGGGCAGCCUCUGAACUGGGAAGCGGCGACCGAGGCUGCCAGCAGAGCAGACACCAUCCUGUGUCUAGGGUCCAGCCUGAAG
rnacentral:sRNA from 1 species